GAACGGCGUGUUAGCUGCGCUAAAACACCAGCCCCUUUUCCAGAGCGCUGCUGUUCGAGGGAUCUGCUGCGGUUCUUCAUGCGGUUUAAAGGUCCGCAUCUAAUAACCUUAUUGCCGGCCCAAAUUGCCGGCCGUUCUCCCCAACCGCUCCAGAUUGCUCUAUUUUGCCACAAAUUUUUAAGAACCGAAGCUAAUUUACCUUUUUUUUGACAAUAUUUCAAUCUCCUCCUUCCCAAAAACACAACAACACUCAGCAACAGCAUAAAAAAGAAAGAGAGAAACCUAAAGAGAAAAGAGGGAAAAACGGAGAAGAAGAGGGAAGGGAGGAAGGAGAAGAACGACGAAGAGUGAAGGAGAAGCAGAAGACGAUGAACGCAGGGGAGAAGGAGGAGGUCCGUUCUCGCACCAUCCUGCUCUGCUGCCGCCUCUGCCGUCGAUUGGGGUCAAGGUCGUUGCCGUCGCACCCUGUUCCCGUCGCCAUUAGGGUUAAAUGUUGCUGUCAUUGAUAGAGCUGCUGCUGGGAGGAGCCGAAUAGGGAGAGGAGGUCGCCAUCGCACACGCCGCCACCAGUUACAACCGUCGCCGAAACCAGGACAGAUUCACUGGAUUUUCUAGUUUGAUCGGAGUUCAGUGCUAACAUCUGAUGGAGGAUUCAGCAGUGAUAGUGUAUCUAAUUUGCCUAAGAAAGGAAUGGAUCGAGGCAGCCAUAGAUCAUCUUCAAAACUGCAUGUGUCUAAGGAUUCUCGUGGUAUUUAUUGCCUGAUUUUCAUAUCAAUUUUGGUUUGGUUGGUUGAUCUUUGCACCCUAUAGGAAUUGAUUGUGUAUGGCCCAAGCUCUCCUCAAUUAAUUUAGCAGUCAGAGACAUAAUGCGGGGAGGGGCUGAUUUUGAAUCCCCAAGCUGUUGUACCAUCUAAAGGUUUUGAAUUAACUUUUUAUAGUACUUCUCUAAUUUAUGCAUUAUUACAUGGUGCAAAUAAUGUGUGUAAAGGUGUUUUGCAUUGUUUCACUUGCUUGUAAUGGGGAGAAAAUGUUAUUUAUGGGGAGCACAAUUUGAUUGUUUCCUCUAACGGAAAACCUUUUUCUGUGUUGUGAAAAAAAUUAUACAUGUAAGUCUAGAGCUU